UACGGAGGGUGCGAGCGUUAAUCGGAAUUACUGGGCGUAAAGGGCACGCAGGCGGUUAAUUAAGUUGGAUGUGAAAUCCCCGGGCUUAACCUGGGAAUGGCAUUCAAGACUGGUUAGCUAGAGUCUUGUAGAGGGGGGUAGAAUUCCAUGUGUAGCGGUGAAAUGCGUAGAGAUGUGGAGGAAUACCGGUGGCGAAGGCGGCCCCCUGGACAAAGACUGACGCUCAUGUGCGAAAGCGUGGGGAGCAAACAGG
rnacentral:rRNA from 2 species